rnacentral:rRNA from 1 species
AUUGAACGCUGGCGGCAGGCCUAACACAUGCAAGUCGAGCGGAUGAAGGGAGCUUGCUCCUGGAUUCAGCGGCAGACGGGUGAGUAAUGCCUAGGAAUCUGCCUGGUAGUGGGGGAUAACGUCCGGAAACGGGCGCUAAUACCGCAUACGUCCUGAGGGAGAAAGUGGGGGAUCUUCGGACCUCACGCUAUCAGAUGAGCCUAGGUCGGAUUAGCUAGUUGGUGGGGUAAAGGCCUACCAAGGCGACGAUCCGUAACUGGUCUGAGAGGAUGAUCAGUCACACUGGAACUGAGACACGGUCCAGACUCCUACGGGAGGCAGCAGUGGGGAAUAUUGGACAAUGGGCGAAAGCCUGAUCCAGCCAUGCCGCGUGUGUGGAGAAGGUCUUCGGAUUGUAAAGCACUUUAAGUUGGGAGGAAGGGCAGUAAGUUAAUACCUUGCUGUUUUGACGUUACCAACAGAAUAAGCACCGGCUAACUUCGUG